AACUGCACAUUCCCGACACAUUGACUAUUUCACAUAAUUCAUACAAAAUCAAGAAUGAAGAGAACAUUCCUUGUGAUCUUUUUGCUUUUUGUAGCAAGUGAAUAAUUCUUUCUUUACGUACAUAAAUCACUAUCACUAUGUGAAAGACCCCAACUUUCGUAUUUAUGAAAGACCCAAACUUUCAUACUAUUCCAACAUUAUUCUUAAGUUACUUUCUCAAAACAUGCUACAUGCAUAUUUAUAAAACAAUAUUUAUAUUGAUAAAGUGAUUACAAAAGAUUGGAUACAAACCGACUAAGUUUUAUUACAUUUCAUAUUUACCCAUGAAUCUACUAUUCAUAUACAUAUAUGAACAUUAAAAUACAUAGAAAUAGUAUUAACUAUUCUAAAUCUUUCAGCAUUAUAAAACUAUAUUGGAUACUCAUCACCUGCAAUUGUUAAAUAUUGAGAGGGAUAAGCGAUAACGCUUAGUGAAUUCAAUAAAUAGAUACAAUAUAAUCUUAUGCCUUAUAUAUACCAAUAUGACAGAAGCAAAAGGGAACAAGAACAACAAUAGCAUAUGCGUAUCAUAUGUCACGCUUUCAAUAUCAACUCAAGAUUUGAUUCAAAGAUUUAUGAUCAAUGAGACAUAACGAUUUCAAUACUUGAUAUGCAUCAAUAAAGCUUUUGGCCCAAACGGCACAGAAGAUAUACAACUUCGGAUUAACAUUUUGGUAGAUUUCAGGCUUAAAGCCCUGUCUAACCAUUUGCCAAUAUCAUAGAAUAGAGUUCAUUCUCUUACGGAGUCAUGCUCUACAUGGUCAGAGGCUACAUACCAGUCCUAUCUAACCUUCUGCCAAUGCCAUAGAAUAGAAGUCAUUCUCUUACGAGACAUGUUCUACAUGGCCGGAGGCUACAUACCAAUACCACCGUGAAUCUAAUUCCUUUCACUGAUCACAAGGUCAAAGGUAUAUCUUUGCUAUUAAAAAUAGCAAAUAAAAAUAACCCGGGAAAAUAACCCGGAAUAAUAACGCUGAAAAGCACGUAGUACAUAUAACACAUAACAUACAAUUUUUCGGGCUCUCCGGGCACUUCGGGGCGUAUUCCGGGCUUUAAAAAUGUUACCGGGGCUUCGGGGUAAUUUAAAAUAGUGAAAAUAUUGAAAAAGGGGCCAAAAAUGCCAAAUUUGGGAUUCUAGUCGGAAGAUCUCGCAACCCCCUUAUUUAUAGGGUGCGAGACCGAAGUCGGCUGGGAAGGAACUAGGCAGCGAAGCAGCUCGGUGGCAUCAGCAGUGAGGGGCACGAGGCUGCUGCGUGGCUCGGGCGUGGCUCGCAUGCGAGGCUCAAGGUGGCUCGCUUCACAGGUCAACACGGGAAGGCAGGUGGCGGUCUCGGAUUCGCUGAGCCUUCGGUGCGAGGGGGUUGCGACAUGCGUUGCCAGCUGCUCGGAUGACUAAGCUGCAUCGGACACAAGGCGGACACGGGGCGAGAUCCGGACCAAUCAGAAGAUGCCAACGAGGCUGCGGUCCAAUCAGAAAUUGCCACGUGGAUCAUCACUAUUCAUGUGAAAAUUAAAUAAAAUAUGUGCCAAAUCUUGUAAAAUCCAUAACUUUUGCAUACGAGCUCCGUUUUUGACGUUCUUUAUAUGCACACGUAGCUAAAAUUAUGCUCUACAACUUUUGUUUAGACUUCGUCGGCUAAUUUUGACUUUAAUUUUUAUAUUAUUAUUUUUAACAGACCGGUACAGGAUAAUCCGUUAAAAAUUCAUAACUUCUUCAUCCGAGAUCCGUUUUCGUCAGACUUUUUACCAUUGUAAUACAAAUGAAGAGACCUUCAAUUCUCGUUUAGGUUGUGUCGGCUAAAAAUCACUCGAUCUAAAAUUCGAGUUUUUAGCUGUCUACUGCUAAGCUGAAACUUCGAAAAAUCAUAGCUUCCUUAUACUAAGGCUAAAAAGUAGUUUAUCGAAAACUAAAUUUUUACGCGACAAAGUAUUUUCCAGAUUUAUCACGGAUCUUCGUUUGGUCAUAACUUCUUCGUUAUAACUCGGAUUUCGACUAGGUUUUCGCCUAAAUGUUUCUAAUGAGAUUUUCUACAACUUUCAAUAAUAAAAUUUUACUUAUUCCAAAUUUUAUAUUUUCGCUAUAUUUGACUAUUUGGCUAUUAAUUAGAAUCUCAUAAGACUUCUAAUAUUUUAUGAGUGAUUCUAAACAAAGUUUUACUUCAUUUCUAGUAAAAACUAUCUGUUAGAACUCAACACUCAUUUUUAUUCACUUUUAAUAAUAACAAUACACAAUUUCAGAAUGUGUAUGUUACACUACGGUCCCGGAUUUUUCUUAAUGAAUAAAAUAAGAGGAUUGGGUGUGAUUAGAAAGGAAAAACGUGUUCCCAACUUUUUUUUAUGCAAUGAAAGGAAAGGUUUACUCCCCCCCCCCUCUCACCCACUCAAAAUUAUCCAUCUAAUUUUGUGCUAAUUAAGAGGGAAAGCAAAAAAAAAUCAUUAUGUUCCUUUCCUUCAAACUCGAGAAAACCAUUGGUAUUUUUAUGCCUUCCAUUCUCUUCUUCACUUUCAUUUUUUUGAAUUUUAAAAUUCAAGAAGAGGAUGAUUAUGUUUUUAAUGAAAAAACACUUGUAUUGGAAUUAGCAUGCAAGCAAGUUAAUGAAAAAUCCAGGGUAUUUUGGGCACUCUCAUAAGGGGUUCUCGAUAUAUAUAUAUAUAUAUAUANNNNNNNNNNNNNNNNNNNNNNNNNNNNNNNNNNNNNNNNNNNNNNNNNNNNNNNNNNNNNNNNNNNNNNNNNNNNNNNNNNNNNNNNNNNNNNNNNNNNNNNNNNNNNNNNNNNNNNNNNNNNNNNNNNNNNNNNNNNNNNNNNNNNNNNNNNAUAAUAUGAAUUAACAUCUACCUUUUUUUAAUUUAUGUGACAGCUUUGAAGGACGUGACUUCGUAUUCACAAGAUUCGGUUCCACCAGAAUGUAACAGUUCUAUAGAUUGCCUUCAUCGUUGUGGAAUGUUUGGGUCUUAUGUUUGUAAAAAUCAUCAAUGUAUUUGUCUAAGUAAUGGUGAACAAAAGGACCCACGCCCACAUGUCCAAUUCGAUGAAAAUGUAUAGUAAUAAUGUCAAAAUGCAAUAUCAAAUGUAAAAAAAUGUAAUGAUUAAUAUGAACUCUUCGAUUUCUGCAACUUGAAUCUUUUUUAUCCUAGACAUAUUUAUGUAUAAACAAUCUAAUGUUAUAUAUUUAUAUGUUUUGACGUAUAUCAUAGUGCUAUAAGGUUUAGGUUGUAAAUGUGAAUACCUUUAAUUAAUUUGUUGUAAAUAUAAAAUUAAUGAUUACAUAAUUUGAAAAGUCAUCAAUAUUCAUUUUCUUAAAAUUUGAAGGAUCGUGUAUGCUAACAUUUGUCUAUAUAUUUUCAAGAAAUUGAGAACUAAUAAUAUAUAGACACACAAUUGCGCAUCCCCAACACAUUGGUUAUUUGACUUAAUUCAUAGAAGUCGAGAAUGAAGAGGACAUUCCUUGUGAUCUUUUUGCUUUUUGUAGCAGGUGAGCAAUUCAUUUUGUACGUAGAUAAGUCACCUUCACUAUGGUCUUGAGUUUUUUAAAUGAAUAAAGUAAGAGGAUUAUGUUAGAUUAGAAGGGAAAAACGUGUUCUCAAUUUUUUAUGGAAUAAAUGGAAAGGAUUAAGUAAAGAUUAGAUUACAUAAAAUACAUAAUUACAAAUAUAUAUUUGAUAUUUUUGAAAUAAAAUAAACAUCAAAUACAAUUUUCUUUAUCUUUUUGUUAUAUAUAUAUAUAUAUAUAUAUAUAUAUAUAUAUAUAUAUAUAUAUAUAUAUAUAUAUAUAUAUAUAUAUAUAUAUGGGGUNNNNNNNNNNNNNNNNNNNNNNNNNNNNNNNNNNNNNNNNNNNNNNNNNNNNNNNNNNNNNNNNNNNNNNNNNNNNNNNNNNNNNNNNNNNNNNNNNNNNNNNNNNNNNNNNNNNNNNNNNNNNNNNNNNNNNNNNNNNNNNNNNNNNNNNNNNNNNNNNNNNNNNNNNNNNNNNNNNNNNNNNNNNNNNNNNNNNNNNNNNNNNNNNNNNNNNNNNNNNNNNNNNNNNNNNNNNNNNNNNNNNNNNNNNNNNNNNNNNNNNNNNNNNNNNNNNNNNNNNNNNNNNNNNNNNNNNNNNNNNNNNNNNNNNNNNNNNNNNNNNNNNNNNNNNNNNNNNNNNNNNNNNNNNNNNNNNNNNNNNNNNNNNNNNNNNNNNNNNNNNNNNNNNNNNNNNNNNNNNNNNNNNNNNNNNNNUAUUCAAACUAAUUAUUGUGUUAUUGUAUGCGUAAAUAUGGGCCAAUCAUUUUACUUAUUUUAAGAAAGUGAUUAAUACAUAUUUUUGAAUUAAAAAUAAUCGAAAAAUACCAUCUAAUUCAACUAGAAGGGUAUUUUAGUCAAUUAACAUAGAUUUAAUAAAGGAAGUUUGCAUAUUUUAAGGGAUCAUAGAUUCUAUUAAUUUUAAAAAUCUGAUUUUACGAAUUAUUAGGUUUUUAAUUCGGACAUUCUGACAGAAUAUGUUUGAAUAUAUUCAAAAAUAAAAAAAAUUCUUGAACCAUAAAAUAAUAAAAAUAUUCUUGAACAUAUUUUUCUUGUAGAAUAACAAAUUCUUGAACCAGCAAUUGAAGAAUUAAAAUAAAAUUAUAUUAAUUCUUAUAAAAUACAUGUAACAAUUGCUAAGAAUUAUAUUUAUUGUUAAAGAAUAAACUAAAAAACUUUCAAAUCGGGGAAAAAAAACAUCAAAAUCUAACAAAUACACUAAUUUAUUCUAGAAGAAUAAUGUUGCUAAGAGGCGUCGUUCAAAUUUCGUGGUCGUUCUUCAACCAUCAACUUUUGUGGAAACAAAUCCAAUGAAUAAAUUAGUGAGAAAAUAUCCAUAUUCCAUUCUAGCAUAAUUGGAAUUCGUGAUUCCAUUCUGAUAGAAUUGGAAUUCAUUUACCAAUAAUUAUAUUAAUUCGGGGCAUUCUAACAGAAUAUGUUCAUGAUUAUCAUAAAAAACAUCAUUUUCUGAUAGAAUACUAUAUACAAAGAAAUAUCAUUCAGUUGAAGCAUUUUAGCGAGCGCUUGGUGUGCAUCAAAACAACUUUAGAUGGAGCAGCCGGCUGUGACGACCCCACCUCCACCUUCUUCUUCGUCUUCUGGAACGACCACACACUCUAGUGUGGUGUUUUCUUCUUGUUCUAUCGAUCAAAGCACAAAACAUACACCACCCCCAAAUCACUACUUCUAAGAAACAGAAGUUGACGCAGCUAGAGGCUGCUAAAAAAAAACUAAUUUCUUCCUUCUUCAUUUCCAGUGAAUCAACAAACCAAAAUUCCCUUCAUUUUUAUUGAUUUCCCAACAAACCCAAACACCCUAACGAUUUCUAUCAAACAAACAAACAAAAUCCAAAAAAUAAUCUGACCAUACAAAGUGUUAAAUAACAAAAAAAAACAUAAAUGUGAAUAUGAUGGAAUACAGUGUUGUUUGUACAAAAGUAGAGAACUCCUACCUCAUUCAUCACCAUAGGGGAAGUUUGAUCAUCUUUAUUGUAUAUAAAUACAAGCAGAACAUGCUUGAAUUCUUCAUAUGCUUCCUUAGAAUCAAGAACAGAGUCAUGUCACAACAAAAACAAGGAGAAUAUCCUCCAUAAUAAAUGAAAAUGAUUUUGCCACAUGUCAGUCUCUCAUAGAUUAUGCCACAUGUCAUUUUGUCAUAAAUUUGAAAUAUUUAUUUUCCACUUGUUAUUUACUUCAUUUUUUUAUUUUUCAAUAUAUAAUUAAUUUAGUUUCUAUAAAUUAAACAUACCAUAACUACUAUAUUAAUUUCAAAUUUUAAAUUUCAAAUUUAAUUUUAAAUAAAUUUACAGUUUAAACAUUUAUUUAACAUUUUGUUAUAAUUAAUACGUUUAGUACACUGGUCUGACAACUAAACAAAUAAUUUUAUUUUAUUUUUUCAUAUUUUCUUCUUAUAAUUUUAUACUUAUUUUAAAUUUCAAAUUAAAAUAAUCCUCCAUAAUAAAUGAAAAUGAUUUUGCCACAUGUCAGUCUCUCAUAGAUUAUGCCACAUGUCAUUUUGUCAUAAAUUUGAAAUAUUUAUUUUCCACUUGUCAUUUACUUCAUUUUUUUAUUUUUAAUAUAUCAUUAAUUUAGUUUUUAUAAAUUAAACAUACCAUAACUACUAUAUUAAUUUCAAAUUUCAAAUUUCAAAUUUCAAAUUUUAUUUUAAAUAAAUUUACAGUUUAAACCUUUAUUUAACAUUUUGUUAUAAUUAACACGUUUAGUACACUGGUCUGACAACUAAACAAAUAAUUUUAUUUUAUUUUUUCAUAUUUUCUUCUUGUAAUUUUAUACUUAUUUUAAAUUUCAAAUUAAAAUAAUCUUCUUAUUUAAUUAUUCGUAUUUAACAUUUUAUUUUAAUCAACCCGUAUAAUAUACGGGUCUCACACCUAGUAUACAGAUAAAGAAAAAGACACGGUUAAGGGAUUAGUUUGGAUAUUAAAAUCAGGAGAGUUAUUAGUUACAAUGAUAGCAAAAAGACAAAUGCUAAUGCAGAAGACAAUCACAAAUUAACAGGAAAUAAGAAACACAAAGACCUUAAUCUUUACACUCAUAAAGUUGAAGAAUAUUUGACUUUCUUUAACCAGAAAUAGAAUUGGAAUCUAGUGCCCGUUUUUAGAUUUGUGGUUUAUACAGUUGGUGGCUUAUAACUAAUAGAUCAUGUACUAGUUCUAACUACCUUAAGUCGCUCAACCCGGAUAGCACAAACUAACUUUCCAAACGAAGGUUUGACUUUAAACAAUCCGAAAAUGCAAAAUGAAUGGCAAGAAUAUUCAGGAUCAAUUUAUGUUUACAUAAAACAACAAGAAUAUUGGAACAUACAGGAUAGGCGUCGAGAGCUCUAGGAGCGAGUGCAAUCCCCAAGCAAUUGAUUGCAGAAUUACGAUCCUCUUCAGUUCCUUUCCUCAAAAGCUCAAUCAAUUUCUUCACAAUCAAAAUACAACCAAAUUCUUAGCAUUUCACCCCCAAUUUAUUAUUCAAUCUUUUUGAACAACAUUCAAAUCGAAAAAGCACAUAUGUUACCUGCUUCUGUAGACGGAAAAGAAGGCGGUGAUCAUCGAGAACGGAAGGAGCAUGGAGAUGCAAGAGAUCAAUGGCGGAAUCGAUAUCAUCGAAUUGCAAUAAACGUCUGAUUUGGGAGAAUCAGCACACGAUACUGAUAAGAAGAACAGGAACAUGAAGAUGGAGAUGAUGAAGAAGGUGAAGCAGGAGGAGAUGAAUCUUCGAUUAAGUUCUCUGAUUUGGCGAAUUUGAUGACCAUAAAAUCUAGGGCUUCCCCAUUUAUUGAGUGAGAUUGUCACACCUCGACCGACGGCGGAAACGCCGGGGUUGCGAUGUUUACAAUUGGAACCACUCAACCACAUAUAUUGAGCAUUCAUAAAUUAAUAUAUUAUGAACCUUGGUUUUGUAAACAUUAUUACAAUAUAGUAAUUAUUCAAAUACGAAACAUUAAAAUAGACCAAAUUCAUAAUAAUAAAGAAAACUAUGAUCUCCUUGAAACCGAUGGUUUACCUCCAACUUCUUAGUUACCUGAGAAUACACAUUUAAAAUACGUCAACAAAAUUUGUUGGUGAGUUCCACAGGUUUUGACUCCGUAAAUUUUAUAUAAAAUAAACAAAUAAAGUUUGGAGUAUUUGCAAAAAAGAAAUGUUUACCCAAAAAAAAAUAUUAAUAAUACAACCUUGUAGAAGUUUGUAUUAGUAUUUAGGUACCUAGGGUUUCAUGGAGUAAAUAACCGAGCUAUGACUUGUUCAAGCCUCUGUGAAGCACAAAAAGGUGCUUGUUGUCCCAAUGACGUUUCAUUGACGUCGUGAUAAAAGAAUUAGAUAAAGAAAACAAGAAGUUAUCGUCUGAUUUGUCUCGUCAUACGAAGGUUGUAGCUAGCAACCGCACAGACGGGGGUGUCAACCCGUAUAGAUCUAUACAAAACGUUCUUCGCUCACAAAGGAUUAACGGUUAUGACAGAGGACUUUACUAAGUUGGUUUUUCUUAGUUUGAUGAAUAAUAGACUCCCCCAACAAUCCCAAGUUUAGGUACCGGUUUACUAAUGACGAUGUUUGGAAACAUAAUGUCGUACGUUUACCAAUUUUAAAGGUAAAUUAAUAUUGUUUCCCUGACACUAUAAUAAUUUGAUCAUACAAAAUAUAAUGUACAUAUUAUUAUUAAUGAAUAAUAACGAGUAUAAACAUAACCAUAAAAAUAGUUUUGUUAAAGUUUAGUUUAGGUCGUGACAUAAUUAUAGUCAUAUAUAGUGGUAUGUUAAUAUAUUCACUUUUAUUCAUAAAACACCCACGAAAUUUUAUAGUAACAACAUAUUCAUCUAUAUAUAUAUAUANNNNNNNNNNNNNNNNNNNNNNNNNNNNNNNNNNNUAUAUAUAUAUAUGUAUAUUAAAUUGUAUAUGUAUGAAUAAUCUAUGUUUAUGUCAUGACCAAUAGGACAUAUGCAACUUUAACUGACAUCCAUUUGUGUAAAGAGUUUAGCGAUAUUAUUUUUAUACGUUAAUGAUUUAUGCACUUUAAAAUAAUAAUAAUAAUACAUGUAUAUCUUUAUGAAUCAUUAUAUAAAUUCUAGCAUGAGAUAAAUUAUGGUAUUUCUUUGUGACAUGUUCGAUAAUACGAUUUAAAAUAUAUAGAUUAGCAUAAAAUGGAAUAUUAAUCGAAAUAUAACAUAAAAUGCCAUUAAACGUAAAUAAGUGUUAGUAAGUUUAACUAGAACAAUUUGUCAUGUGUAUUCUCCCCCAUAAAUUAUUUAAAAGAUAAAAUGGGGCCGUAGAUACUCACUUUUGUCAUGUGACGGUAUUUGGUUCGAGGAAGCCGGGAUGUUUUCGGUUCCACCGAGGCUUGAAAUUUGAAUGCUUUUGGGGAAGUAUGUGGCUUGAAAAUCACAACAAUUAUAAAAAAAAGUAUACUUUGGCUAUUGUUUUGAAUAGUUAUUUUAGUGCAGCAAAUUAACUAACUUUUAGAGGUAUUUUAGGGUGAAAAUAUUAAGCAAAAAGAAUGUGAAAGGGGGCUGGAAUAGUAGUUGGAAAUGGAGGGAUAACACCCUCUUUUUGGCUUCUGUUUUGCUGUUUCAUAAAGUGAGGAAAAAUACAGAAUUUUGGCUGAGUUUUAAUGGCUAUUUGAGUGUAAUAUAGAGGACAUUUAGCUGCACUUGUAAGGAAGAAAUUGUAAGGGAGAAAUGAGGGGGAAGUAUCGACAUUUAUAGGGGAAAGAGGAAGGGUGAGAAGAUUGCUAAAUUUCUAUUAGAUCGUAUAGGAUAAAAUUUUUAUAUGAUUUUUUUUGUUUACCUUGCAAUUUGCAAGUUCCACCAGCCCACUUGCUAGUUCUACUUGCUUUUCAAAUGAUUUAGUUAGAAAAAUAAAUAAAUAAAAGGAUUGUGAGGGAGGAGAGGGUAACGAAUGGAAGGGGAAGCAAAAGAAAAGAUUUAAAUAUUGCAUCAGGUGAUUUCUUUCUUCUAACUUAUAGCCAUCCUAGCCUAUUUUAAAUUUUCUAUUCCCUUAUCUCUUUAGAUGUACACGAAUCAUGCUCCUGUAACUUCUUCAUGUUUGGCAUUUUUAUUUACUCAUUCUUUUAUUAAUUUAUUUUAUUUUUAUUGGAUGACAACUCAUAUAAAUAACAAUAGUGAUUACAUAUAUUUAUUAUUUAAAUACUUAUACUAGUGUGUAUGUUUAAUGGACGUUUAAAAUAUUUUUCAUUACUCCUUGUAUAAUACCGCAUCAUAUUUUUAUAAAAUAAUAGUAAUGUUUAUGGUCUAAAGCGCAAUUAUGUGCGUCUAAGUGUUUCAUAGAGAUGUUAUUUGUUUUCCAUCGUGUUUGUUCAUGAAUGACUUAAUUUAAUUAAAUUUCAAUUUCGUAUAUAAGUUCGUUGAUGGUAUCACUUCUAACCAUUGUAAGUAAGUUUACAAGAUCAACAUUUUCCGUUAUCUGGAGUCGUGUAAAUGUAAAAAUUUGAACAAAUAGUUUUUAUUCAAUUGUUUUCAUGGAACCGUUUUUAGUGAAGACAAUUUAUUAUAUAUAUAAAAAAAAGGUAGACUCCAUUAUUAGUGGUAAUCUUAGAUAUUUAGGAAAAUUUCUCAAGUUAUUAUCUAAAUUGCACCACAUUCUCUCCGAAUCCUUGGAUAAUACAAUAUUCGUUAUUAAAUAUCAAUAUAUAUUAUCUUACCAAAGUCUAUAUUUUUGCCAAUUGUUACAUGCUCCCCCCAUUAAAAGAAUUUCGUCCCGAAAUUCAACUUGUGGAUGGGGUAUCGUUAAACAAUUGGGGGUAUUUCUGUCUCAUAUGGUCUUCGCGUUCCUAAGUGAAUUCUGGUCCUCGAUGAGAGUUCCAGCGCACCUUCACGAUAGGAAUUCGACUAUGUUUUAAAUGCUUGACUUCUCGAUCCAUAAUCUCCACAGGUUCUUCAACGAAGUGGAGUUUUGUGUUCAGUUGAAUCUCUUUGAGAGGUAUUACAUUGGUAUCAUCUGACAGAUACUUCUUCAGGUUUGACACAUGAAAGACAUCAUUCACUUUGUCUAGUUCCUGAGGCAACUUUAUUCGAUAAGCAAUAGGACCAAUUUUGUCGAGAAUUUCAAAAGGUCCAAUGUAUCUUGGGUUUAACUUGCCCCUCUUGCCGAACUGAAUCAUAACUUUCCAUGGUGAGACUUUUAACAUCACUCGGCCCCCAACCUGGAAUUCUAGAGGUUUACGUCUCACGUCAGCAUAACUUUUCUGACGAUCACGUGCGACCUUAAGUCAAUCUUUAAUCUAAACUAUCUUUUCGGUCGUUUCGUGAAUUAUCUCUGGCCCAGUGCGCAGAGUGUCACCUGUGCGUUCUCGCGCCAAUUGCGUAUCUCCAACCUUUGUCCAACAUAUAGGCGAUCGACACUUGCGUCCGUACAAAGCUUCAAAUGGUGCAGUUUUGAUGCUGGUGUGAUAGCUAUUAUUAUAGGAGAACUCAAUCAAUGAUAGAUGAGUAUCCCAAGAGUUCCCAAAGUCUAUCACACAUAACCGAAGCAUAUCUUCCAAUGUUUGAAUGAUUCGUUCACUUUGACCAUCGGUCUGGGGAUGAUAAGUUGUCCUCAUAUCUAAGUGUGUUCCCAGGGAUUUUUGUAGUGAUUGCCAGAACCUAGAAGUGAAUCUACUAUCUCUAUCUGAGAUAAUAGAAAUUGGUACUCCAUGAAGUUUGCAAUUUCACUGAGAUACGUUCUUGUUAGCUUUUCCAUUUUGUCAGUUUCUUUGAUUGGUAGGAAAUGGGCAGACUUCGUUAACCUGUCAACCACCACCCAAAUAGUGUCGUAACCGUUAGAGGUAUUAGGUAGUUUGGUGAUAAAUUCCAUUGAAAUUUGUUCCUAUUUCCACUCGGGAAUCUUCGGUUGUUGUAUUAAUCCCGAGGGCUUUUGGUGCUCUGCCUUGACUUUUGAACAUGUCAUGCAUUUGCCCACAUAAGUGGCGAUCUCAGCUUUCAUAUUAGGCCACCAAUACAAUUUCUUCAGAUCCAUAUACAUCUUGUCAGAGCCAGGAUGUAUUGAAUAUCUUGAUCGGUGAGCUUCUUCCAAGACUAGGCUCCUGAUCUCACCAAACUUUGGUGUCCAGAUUCUGUUCAUGAAAUAACGGGUUCCAUCAUCCUUAAGCUCAAAAUUCUUAUCCAUUCCUCGUAAAGCUUCUCUCCCAACAUUCUCUUCUUUUGGGGCUUCCAAUUGUGCAUCCCAGAUUUAUGCAUUGAGGUUGGAAUGGAUGGUCAUAAUCAGUGCUUUUACUCGUCGGGGUUUCACACGUUCCUUAUGACUUAGGGCAUCCGCUACAACAUUUGCUUUUCCCGGAUGAUACCGAAUCUCGCAUUCGUAAUCGUUCAUUAACUCGAUCCAUCUCCUUUGCCUCAUAUUUAGUUCCUUUUGAUUGAAUAUGUGUUGGAGACUUUUAUGAUCAGUGUAAAUAAUGCACUUGGUUCCGUAGAGGUAGUGUCUCCAAAUCUUCAAGGCAAAUACUACUGCUCCCAACUCAAGGUCAGGGGUUGUGUAGUUGUUUUCGUGGAUUUUGAGUUGGCGAGAGGCAUAUGCAAUGACCUUGUCUCUCUGCAUUAAUACGCACCCCAAUCCCUGAAUUGACGCAUCGCAGUAUACUACGAAAUCUUCAGUUCCUUCAGGUAAGGAUAGGAUUGGUGCACUUCACAAUCUCCAUUUUAACUCCUGGAAUGCGACUUCCUACUUGUCUCCCCAAUUAAAUUUAGUUUCUUUAUGUGUUAGUGCAGUUAGGGGCUUUGCUAUUUUGGAGAAGUUUUCAAUAAAUCUCCUGUAGUAACCUGCAAGGCCUAAGAAUUGGCGCACUUCUGUUGGCGUCUUUGGUGUAUCCCAAUUCUUAAUUGCUUCAAUCUUUGCAGGAUCCACAUGUAUUCCUUUGUUACUCACUACAUGCCCAAGGAAGUGUACUUCUCUGAUCCAAAACUCGCAUUUGGAGAGUUUGGCGUACAAUUUUUCUUUCCUUAGCAGUUCCAAGAUUAAUUUCAAGUGUUGUCCGUGUUCUUCUUUGGUGCGAGAAUAGAUUAGAAUUUCAUCUAUGAAUACUAUCACAAAUUUAUCUAAGUAUUGCUUGCACACACGGUUCAUAAGGUCCAUGAAUACUGCUGGAGCAUUGGUUAAUCCGAAAGGCAUAACGAGAAACUCGUAAUGACCGUAUCGAAUCCUAAAUGCAGUCUUCAGAACAUCCUCCUCCACCACCUUCAGUUGAUGAUAUCUAGAUCUAAGAUCUAUCUUUGAAUAGUAAUUGGAUCCCUGAAAUUGAUCAAACAUGUCGUCUAUUCUGGGGAGUGGAUAACAGUUCUUGAUUGUUAAUUUGUUCAACUCCCAAUAGUCGAUGCACAUCCUGAAAGACCCAUCCUUCUUCUUGACAAAUAAGACCGGUGCUCCCCAAGGUGAGAAGCUCGGUCUAAUGAAACCUUUAUCAAGAAGUUCCUGCAGUUGGCUCGAAAGUUCUUGCAUCUCAGAAGGGGCCAAUCUGUAGGGGGAUUUUGCUACUGGUGCUGCUCCUGGAAUUAAGUCGAUUCUGAAUUCGACACUGCGGUCUGGUGGUAGUUCAGGAAGAUCUUCUGGAAACACGUCGGAAUAGUCACAUACUUGUGGUAUGUCUUUGAUUUCUUUCUUUUUGCUUUUCUUAUCUAUUACAUGCGCCAAGAAGGCAUAGUACUUCUUGUAUAGAUAGUUUUGAGCUUUGGUGCAAGAAAUAAGCUUUAAAUUCUGACCCGACUUGUCACCGUAGAUCGUCAUGGUCUCUCCGUUACUUACUGUUAGAUGUAUUGCCUUUUCAAAACAUAAAAUCUCGGCAUGGUGGAGAGACAACCAAUCCAUACCAAUAAUAAUGUCGAAGCUCCCAAUUGGCAUUGGCAUUAGAUUAACAUGAAACGUAUGGUCGUUUAGAGUUAGGAUACAAUCACGUAGGCUCUCAGUGGUGCUUUCAGUUUGACCGUUUGCUACUUCUACUUCAUAUGCUACCUCUAAUUUACUACACUCGUGAUUUAAUAGUUGUUUAAAUGAUGGGGUUAUAAAACUUCUAUCAGGAUCGGAGUCAAAGAGAAUCGUAGCAUAUAAGUUAUUAAUGAGAAACGUACCAGUAACCACCGAGGGAUCUUGUAUCGCAUCCCUAUUCCCAAUCACAAAAGCUCGACCACGAGCCUGGACACUUCCUUUCUUCAGUUUCGGUCAAUUCCGUUUGACAUGUCCUUUCUCUCCACAUUCGAAACAAGUUGCUCCUCCUCCUAACCCUGAUCCAGUGUCCCUAUCUUGUACUGCUGCAGCAAGUGUCGUGCCUCGACAAAAGUUUGCGGUAUGCCCUUUCUUGUUGCAUGCAGUACAGUGGAAACAUUAUCCAACAUGGUGUCGGUUGCAUUUGGUGCAUAGUGGUUUGUUUCCAGCAUAACUCUUAUGUUGGGUAUGAAUAGGGGCCGGAGUCACAACGUACACCUUUUCGAUAUGUUGUUUCUUCUAUUGACUCUGGCUUCUUUCAUUGAACUUGCGUUUGUGAUGAUUAUUUCCAGUUUUUGGGAUUUCAACCUUAGCUAUCAUCGUCCCUUGAUGAAUUUCAUUCUUAGUCAAUUGAAACGCUAGACGCUUAGCACUUAGAUAGGUUGUCGGCUUUGAUGAAAGAAGCAUCCCCUUAAUUUGAGGUGCUAGGCCCCAAAUGUAGCGUUCGACUUUCUUGCUUUCGGGGGUCACCAUUCCUUGGUAGAGAAGUGCAACGUCGUUAAACCUAGUUGUAUAUGCUUUGACUUCAGCACCUUCCAUUUUCAAGUUCCAUAGUUCGUGUUCUAACAUCUGCACCUCAUCUUAUGGACAAUAUUCUUCAAUUAACAGAACUUUAAAGUUCUCCCAAGACAUGGAGUUUGCAAUCGAAACUCCUAGAGUUUUUACGUGAUCGUUCCACCAAGUUAAGGAUCCAUCCAUCAGGGUACAUGCAGAAAACCGCACUUUGCUACCCUUAGGGCAGUAGCAGAUUUCGAAGACUCCUUCUGUCUUUUCAAUCCAACGAGUUAGACCGAUGACUCUCUUAUUUCCAUAAAAUUCUUCGGUUUACAAUUCAUGAAGUCCUUGUAUGAACAAGUACUUUGAGGUUCUUCAGGAUUUGAGUUGAGAGUGCUUUCGAGUCCGUUCCUGAGCCCAUUCACUUCCACGAUAGGCCUUCUAGAGUCUAGGUUUCUAGCAGUUGCCAAAGCGAUUGAGAGGCGUUCCGAUAUUAGUUGUUCCAAUUCUUCAGUGGUUUGGGGAAGCCCUGACUCAGGGGGUGGAGGCAUUGGUGUGUUAGAAGACGGUGUUUCUGCUACCGGGGUCACUAAUGGACUUGUUCGGCCUUUUCUGGGGCGUCCAGCUAUCGGUUGUACUAUUGCUUGUGGAGUUGGUACACUUGGGUUUAAACGAGUGCUCUUUGUUGGAGGCAUAUUGUCGUCCUAUAAUAGUCAGUAAGUUUGCGAUGUUAGUGUUAGCCAUUUUAAGAAUUUAUUUUGGAACAAUUAUUUUUGUUUGAUUUUUUUAUAGCAAUUGUUGUGUAUAAAAUGGUUCAUAUGAUAGUUUGACAAGGUUUUGAAACUAAAUACAUCAUAUAUUUCAUUUAAAACAUUAGUAUCCGUUUACAUCGGUCUUUACUUGUACAAAAUGUAAAGACCAUAGUUUUAGGGGUACAAAAGCCCUAACCUUUGUUAUAUUACAAGUGAAACAAACAAAACCUACGCAUGCUCACAUCACCUAACAUAUCCGAAGAGUUAUAUCAAAAUUUGCAAGUUUAACAACUUGCCCUGCCACAACCUGAUACUUCUUAUCACCAAAAAUUCAUCCAUUGGGCCACCGCAUUGGACAACUCAGUGUGCUUUGCAACCAGUUCUGCAUGGUCUGCUACAAGUGUUGCAUGCCUUUCUUCGAGUGCUACAUGCCUUUCUUCUAUUCUAUGUGCCAGAGAGAGCAAUAUCGUUUUGAUUCUCCAUAGCAGUCAUCCUUGAAUUGCAGUUCAUCCAAUUGCUAUGGUGAUAGUUCAUUUGUUGGUGGAGGUUAUCCAGUUCAAUCUGGUUUUGUUCUUGUUGUCUCCCUAUACGAAUCAUUCCUCCUCUGGUUUGUACUAUUUGUCCCUGUAUGGUGCUCAGUUCAUCACUGAUAUGCCAGACUUGUCCAUGCAAGCGGGUAUUUUCUUCGAAUAGAAGAGACAAGUCGUCAAUGUCCAUGGAAGAUGGAGGUGUCGUUCCCGACGCUUGACCUUUCUAGAAAUUUCCCGAGGCCUUCCAUUCGGAUAUCCACUUGUGUUGGGUCAAAAAUAUGGUUUAUACUUUGCUUUUCUAGGAAAAUAUAUUUUUAUGUAAUGUUGUAUGUGUUUGCGGUUUGUGUGUACGGCCGCACACCCUAUGUACGGCCGUACACAGGGUGUGCGGCUGUACACAUGUGUAUGGCUGGAGGUCCAUAUAAAUAGAGGAGUGCAUGUGGGUGUGUACGGUAAAAGGGUUAGAAGGUUAGAGAAGAGAGAUAAAGUUAGAGAGAAGUGUGUGUGUGUGAGAGAGAAUCUAUUGUAAGGUGCAUCACUCAUUCAUAUUGAAUACAUCAUAGAUUCAUCUUAAUUCUUCUUCUCCUUCUCUUCUAUUUGAUCUGACGUCAUCCAAUUGAUUGGGAUUCCGCACCAUCAAUUGGAUCUGAUUGAUACACAAGCAAUUUUGGGGACUUACAAUUGGUAUCAGAGCAAGGUUGUAUCAGUCAGUUUUGUCAGAUCUGGAGCUUAUUUGAUCUUAUUUUGAAAAGAUAAUAGCGUUUCUGGAUUGAUCUCGCAAAAAUAAGGGGGGUUACUUCUUUGCAUUUUUCAUAAAAACGAGUUUUUGAUCGAGUUUUGGAGCAAAAAAGGGUGAAAAACGUCGUUUUUUUUUCGCGAAUCUGUUGAAGGUGUGCGGCCAGACUUUGAAGGUUGAAGGUGUGCGGCCUCGGUGUGUGCGGCUGAGCAGCCUCAGUGUGCGGCCUUGGCCGUGUGCGGUUCAGCAUCUCGCAUCUGGAUCCUCGCUUCGCAGCUCUAGUCCUCGCUUCAGCCCUUUCAUAAAAAAUAGGAAACAUGUUUGAAGGUUGAAGGUGUGCGGCUGAGCAGCCUCAGUGUGCGGCCUUGGCCGUGUGCGGUUCAACAUCUCGCAUCUGGAUCCUCGCUUCGCAGCUCUAGUCCUCGCAUCAGCCCUUUCAUAAAAAAUAGGAAACAUGUUUGAAGGUGCCAGGGAUCGAACCCUAGACCUCCAGGUCUUUGCCCCAGCGCCUUACCAACUCGACUGGGAGGCUUCUUGUGUCUUACAUCCGAACUUUAGAAUAUAACUCAUCCUUUUCGCAUAUAAUUUCGCAAAUUGACAAUUUCAACCCAAAAAUCAAUUUUCUUUAUUUCUAAAUUCUAUUUUCAACCCAAAUUUUUUUAGUUAUUAAUUUUUGAUUUUAUUUUUAUCUUUGACCUUAAAAUUUUUGACUUUGACUUUUAAAAUUUGACCUUUGACUUUAAACAUUGACUUUCUCGUUUGACUUUUAAUUUUUCAAAUUUGGCUUUUCAGUUUGACUUUUUAAAUUUGACUUUUAAGGUUGACUUUAUCGGUUUUUAAGUCAAAGGGCAAUUAAAAAUAUAAAAAAAAUUAAAAAAUUAAAAAAGAAAAAAAAAAUGAGUUCCACAUCAAUUCCAGUAAAUGAAGUUUCAUGUACUCCAUCUUGUAAAGCUACGAUUAAAUUUCUUCACAAACAAAUUGAUUUGCUAAAAAGGGAAAAUGAGGACCUUAAAUAUGAAGGCUAUACUCUAAGGAAAUGCCAGAAACCGUUAAAAGCUCAAUUAGAAACCAAAAACAAGGAUUUCCGAAAACUCCAAGAAGAUUACAACAACAAGUGUGAAAAUUAUGAUCACAUUAAGAAAAAACUUGCUGCUGUAACUGAAGAACUUGACGCUUUGAAAAUAAAGUGUGGAAAAACAGAUGUUAGUUUCAAAAAUUACACUGCGUCAAGUAAGACAGUCGAGUCCUUAUUUGAAAAUCAAUUGAAAUUCAAAGAUAAUCAAAACAAGGGUCUAGGGUAUGAUAGUGUUCCUCCCCCUUUCAAUCAUAACUAUAUAUCCAUACCUUUGACUCAGGAAAAGAUUGACCGAGAAUCAUUUAUGGUAUACGGUAAACCAGUUGUUGAACAGGCAACUGAGUGUGUUGAGUUGAACGAUACUAAUGCUUCUACUUCAUGUGCAGGUAAAGUAGCAGAGGAUAAGAACAAGGAGAACACUAUUGAACACACCAACAUCUCCUUAAACUCUGAAUCUGUUGCUUCGAACUCAGCUGCUUCUGAUCAACCUAUUGUUGGUAUAUACAGGCCACCAAUUCCAACGCAACUGAGUUCUUGUUGCAAGUGUGCAUGUGGGAAAAGCAAGAGACAAGGCAAAGACACGCCACCAGGGGCAGGAAGAAACAACUCCACAUUGAAGAAAAAGACAUGCUUUCACUGUGGAACACCUGGACACAUUGCCAUAAAUUGUCCAAAUCGCGCAUAUGUUCCCUACUACGCACAUGGCUGGCAGAAAACACCAAGAGGAAGAUACUCCAAAAAAAACCCCUCAAGGCCACAUUUAGAAAAUAGCGACCGGAAUGCCACGAAGGCCAAAAAUCAACCCCACAAGGCCAAUAAAUCAACUCCCAAGGUCAAGAAGGGAAUGUCGGCCAAGAAGCCAAAUCCAAGAGAUGCUCCCGUGAAGCCAAAAUCAAAGUCAUCUCGACGAUCGGCUUCAAGUUCAAAAUCAAGUGCCGAGGUACCCAUCCGCUCGAAAAAGAAAUGGGUUAAACCCAACUACAGAUGGGUACCGAAGGUGCAAUCUCCCAAAUCAUCUAAUGCUUCUAAUAUUCUACAUUUUCUGUUUGUGAUAAACAGGAUAUGUCAUGGGAGAGAGUACCGUGCAAGGAUGACAGGUCAACCCAGUUUCAAAAUGGACUGGGUUCCAAAGACCAACUGAUCCCGCUCUGUGUUGGAGCAGCUAUGGAGGCAUAUCAUUAGACUUCGGUUUGUUGGUAGUGGCUGUUCCUGGCACUUGGUAGGGGACAUCUCUCAACUGUACAACAUUCAGACAUUUGUUUGAGAGUAUGUGUCCUUUGCGGGAAGGGAAGAAAGGAAGUGAUCAGUCUCGGGGUUUAUGCUUAAUGACAUGAAGAAUUUUCGGAUCUGUUUUGAGAUUAUUCGUGCUGUUCUUAGACCUUCUGGAUGCAAAUUCAAUUGGUGACUUACGGUUUGAGUUUUCUUCUCUAUACUCCUGUGUUUAUCUUAAGCUGAUUCGCUUUAAAGACUAAUUUUUGUUUUAGGAUAGUUUAAAUUUGCGCAUUUACUUUCGUUUCUCUCAUAUGCACAAAUUUAGGGGGAGAAAUAAAAACAAAACAAAAAUUAGAAAAUUUUAAAAAUCCAAAAACAUUAGAGAAUCAGAUAAUCAAAAAAAAAAAUGUUGGUUAUGAAAUGUGCUGCUNGGAGAUGUUUUGGGAAGUGAUAUUAUCAAGUGAUAACAGGCAAUCUGAGUCUGCGUAACGUACCCAAAGUUGAAGGGUCUAUGCUCUGGUUUGAUGCAUCAGUAGGCACGAAAGAUUCUAAAUUGACAUGACUAGGCAGAGGUGAACUUAAGAAAUCAAAUUACUUGACAAAUAUUGACUUAGUUAGAUCCGUUUAGCCUGACAAUAUGACGCUCGGAUAGGUUGAGCAGGGAAAUAUAUAUGGGAAUCUACUUGUCACAUUAAUUGAACCCGUAUCUGGAACCGUGGUUUAACUUUUCCUCGAUGUGCGGAUUCUGUCCUUAAUUCCGGUUGGAUGGGGCGACUAGUAAAUUCCGAUAAAUUAGGUCUGUAGAAUAUCAUUUUCUUUCUUUCCGUCUGUUAGUCAUAUGUUGUCUCCUUUGCGUGACUUCCAAUCCGACCUGGUACACAACAUAUGCAACUCUAUUUCUCUGCAGGAUAUAUAUGUGAAAUUCCUCUUAUCUGUUAGCCAUAUGCUGUCUCCUUUAACAAUCCGACCUGGUACACAGCAUAUGCACUAUAAGUGAUAAUACUCUGAAUCUAUCUUCUCCCUUAAUGAUGGUCUACUCGACCAGACAAAGACGUGAAGAUGGAAGGUACCGACAAGCGGAUAAAGGCUAUCUAAAAACUUUGAUCCCAAAUCAUUCUCAAAGUUAGAUAUUUUCACACCCCGAAAACCCAAGGUGGAAACGUUUUCGGGGCGGACUCCACGUUGAGUAUCAUAACCAAUGUACAUAGUAACACAGUAAACACAAAACAUUACAUUACAUAGAAUUGUUUACAUCUGUUUAAAAGUAAACUUAUACAAUUUUUAUACACAUAUAUCAUAUGAACAAAAGUAAAGUCGAGUCUUCUAACACUCCUUCUUCUCCAAAAGAUCGCGAGUACCUGUCUAAUGCUGACCAGAGAAUACAAGCAGUUUGAAAAUCAGCGUAAAGCUGGUGAGUUCAUAAGCGGUUUAAUUUUGAAAAGAUUGAGUUUCCUUUGGUUUUUCUGAAAAAGUUGUUAUCCAAGAAAAUCCUAUAUUUUCUUAUGAGAACAUUUUAGUUAUCUUUCGAUACACAAUUUCAUUUAUGAGUAGAUAUGUUGUUCCAGGAAAAUCCCAUAUUUUCCUAUUAGUUUAGUUUUCCAUUCGUUACACCAUUUGUUUACGGGUCAUUAUGUUAUUCCAGGAAAAUCCCAUAUUUUCCUAAAUGUUGCGGUUAGUUCUUAGUUCGGAUUUCGAUGUACUAGUAUCUACCAUACUUAUAGUAUUAGCUAGGUAUUCUUACAUUCGAAUGUCGAUUAUCUACUAUACUUUGUUGUAUUUUCGAAUAUUUGGAUACAAUCAGAAACGUACAUUAACAGUAUUUUCGAUGUUCUGGUGAUUUCCAAAAGAGUACAUUAGACGUAUCUUCGAAACUCUGUCGACAUCCAAAGGCGUAUGUUUUCGAAACUUUGUAGAUGUCCAGAGGCGUACUUUCGAAUUAAUUUCAAAACUCUGGUGACACUCAAGGCGUACAUUAACUGUAUAUUCGAAGUCUUGGCGUCAUCCAAAGGCGUGCUUUCGUAUUCAUAUUCGUAUUCCUAUUUUCAUAUUCGUAUUCGUAUUCGUAUUUAUAUACCUAUUCCUAUUUGUAUUUGUAUUCGUAUUCGUAUUCACAUUCAUAUUCGUUUUUGUUUUCAUAUUCGUAUUCGUAUACCUAUUCAUAAUCGUAUUCGUAUUCUUAUUCACAUUCGUAUUCGUAUUUUAUUAGUAUUAAUCUUAGUUUAUGAUUAGUAUGAUUUCUUUUGCAAAAUGUAAUAUAGUUUAUAACACUUCUUAAAGAAAUCUGCAUUAAGUCUAGCAGUUUACUCUGCAAUUCGAACCAUUGGUUAACACGAUUUUCGAUAUUAAAAGCAUACAUAAACUGAAACAUUUGAGCUGAAAAUAAGUUUAAGUACAAGAUUUCCUUGUACUUAUGUUUGUAUUCCCCCUUGAAAACAUUUGAAAAACACAGAAAAAGGGUAGGGGUAUGAACUAACCGGUUGAGGAACGCGUCGGUUUGGAUCCUAAACGUCAGUUCUGGGUUUGUAAAUGCACAAGAUUCCUAUGUAAUAUGAAAAGAUACACAUUUAUAUCUAAUUAGGAUUUGAACCACUAAUUAGUUGAGGACAUACACUUCUAGUUGCGAAAACACUUCAUUACAAUUGUUUGGAGGGACCCGGGUGACAUUUAUGGACACAUAUAGCUUGGAUAUGGAGUUUACUCUUCAAGAGUAAACUCAAACAAGAUUUUUCGGCCCUAAUGACCCACUCCCCAUGAGUUUACGGCCGUAAACUCAAGGUGGGGGUGCUCUAGAGUGCUAAAUGGCCUUGAAUCAAUUGAGGGGUAAUUCUAGGUUUGGUUUCAAGGCAUGGGAUAGUAGUUUGGGCAUCUUAGGGACCAUUUGAUGAGUUUACGGCCAUAAAAUCUUGUAUACAUAUUCAAAGUGUGUUUUGGUGGUCCUUAGUCAAUCACAUGUGAUUUCAAGCCAUUUUACAAGCCAAAGGGUGAAGUUUGGGCACCAUUUGACCAUGAUUUAGGAGUUUACGGCCCAGGAACCCAUCCUUUGAGGGUUCACGGCCGUGAACUCCUUAAGGAGUUGUUUUCAUCAAGUUUAAGGCCCCUAAAUUGAUUGUGGUUGAUUCUAGAAUUUAAUCCAAGGCUAUUGGUGUGUUUAAAUGGCAUUUAAACGCUUGGAAAUGAGUUUACUCUCCAUGAGAAUGAGUUUACGGCCGAAGCAUGUUCUUGGGCAGUAAACUCAUGUUUACUCCUCAAAAGUUAAGUUUAAGGUGUUCUAAGUCCGUUCCAUUAAGCCAUCUAGCCAUAUCCAAGCUCCAAAGGUCGAUUGGAAGGGUUUUUGGGCUCCAAAACCCAUUUUAUAUGAGUUCACGGCCUAGAACUGUUCUAGGGCCGUAAACUCAUGAUAAUGUUCCUAUUCCAUAGUUUGACCAUGAAUUUGGAAGCUAGAGAGGUUGUACAACAAGUUAGGAAGGUUACCUUGAUUAAAUGGAGCUUUAAUUUGAUGAUUUUGGACCUUAAGUUUGGAUUGAGGAGAGAGGUUAGAGAGAGAGUGCAAAAGCUUCAAAUGGAAGCUUAAUCCACUUUAAAUAUGUUCCAAGAUCGGGACACGGUGGAAUUCUACCCGAUACCGAUGUUAGACGUGGCUUUUGGUCGCACCCGAUUAAGUUGUCGUAACCCGGCGGGAUCGAUUCUAUAAAUUUUCAAAUUAAUAUUUUGGGCCGUUUACAUGAGUUUCUAAGGAGUUUGGACACUCGUGAGUUUAUAAUAAACAUAUAAAUUUAAUUAACUUAGCCCAAAAACGAGAUCAGACCGAUUCACAAAAGACGGUUUUUACGGGUGAAAUGGGUUACGUCGAUGGACGACUUCGGGUUGUCACAUUAUCCCCUCGUUAGAGGGAAUUUCGUCCCAAAAUUCAAAGAUUAAGAUACAAAUCAUGAAUUGAAAAAGAGAUAUGGAUGAAUCUACUGCUUCGGGUCUUCAUGCUCCCAAGUGGAAUCGGGUCUCCGCUUGACAUUCCAGCGAACCCUCACUAUCGGGAUGCGGCUUUGUUUCAUACAUUUGAUCCCUUGAUCCAUGAUCUGAAUUUGUUCUUUCAUGGGGGUUCAGUAUUUUAUUGAUUUCGGUAUCAUCAAAGGGAUUACUAGGGUUUCGUUGGGCAGGCGCUUCUAAAGAUUCAAGACGUGGAAGACAGGAUGGAUACUACUAAGUCCUUGAGAUAGUCGAAGUUUGUAGUUCACGGUUCCGAUUUUAGGCGGGGAUUUGGAAAAGUCCAAUGUAUCACAGGUGAUGGUUUCCGCACUUACCAAAGCAUAUCAUGCCAUUCUGGGAUAAGGCCUUCAACAGGACACAAGCUCCAACAAGAAGGUACAUCUUCAUGUAGCAGCGUAGCUAAGGGUCUGAUGGUUCUAAAAGAAAUUUCUGGGUGGUUCUGCGAUAAUAGUCGACGGAACCCAAGAAUUGACAGGUUUCUAUGGAUAUCUCCGGUGCCAACUAAUUUCCUAUCGCCUUAGUUUUUGGAAAGGUCCACGGGUAUGACUGCUUUGCUUACUACAUGACCAGGGAAAAUGGUUUGACCGAAGGGCACCACUACCAACUCGUAGUGACCAUACCAAACCCUGGUCGCUGUCUCGAACACAUCAUCCACAUGGAGGUUUGGCUACGAGGUAGUUCCAUGGAUUAGGUCGAUGCGAUACUCGACUAAACGUUCGGAAGGAAUUCUCGGGAAAUCUUCGGGAAAGACAUCAAGGAAAGAGUUGCAGACUUCUCGUUUCCCGAUGAUUACACAGACGAGGAAUGCAUGGCACUCCUUUCAGGAAAACUUUUUAAGCUUUGAUGCACGAAGAUUAUGAGAAUUAGCUCAGAGGAAAGAUUUAGACGGACGACCUUUUUGAAACCAAGAAUAACAACAUGAAUGAGACCCGGUCAUUACAUGCCAAUAAUAGCAUCAAAGCAUUUCAUGAAAAGUUUGCCAUUUGAUCGAAUGGAAAAGAAUAAUUGUCCGGAUUAAGGAUACAACCUAUGGUUAUGACGUUAGCGUUCUCUUUCUCAUUUGUUAAUCAUCUUGAAAGUACACUUUUCGGUUACUAACGAAGGAUUAAGUUUAGAAAGGUGUUUGAAUGGAUAGUUAGCAAAUUUCUUUUAGCAUUAGAAUCGAAAAGGGAUUACAGGUAUAAGAUUCAUCGAGGAGGAAUAUACCUGUGGCAACGGUGGGGUCGGUGGCUGCCGCUCCUUGUCCCAUAGCUAGGAAUCUCCCGGUGUUGCCAGAUGUUAUUGUCUUACGGCAGUUUCGCUUGUAAUGUCCGACUUCCCCACAACUGUAACAGGUCUGACCGAUACUCGCUCCGGAAGCUUGACUAGUUGAUUGGGUUGGUGUUUUGCAGCUUCGCGCGAGGUGACCUUCUUGGCCACAGUUCUUACAAAACUUUUCACGACAAGGGCCAAGGAUACGAUGGUGGUAACUGCACCGGUUACACCAGGGGAGGAUAUCGACAUAUCCGGUGAUAGGUGCUUGAGCUGAGGAACCGACAACAGAUACAACAGCAAGGGUAGUGGCAGCGUGGAUUGCCACUAUCUGUUGUUUCUUCAAGGACUCCGGAGAAGACCGACUCUUCUUCUUCUUCUUCCAAAACUUUCUUUUCUCAUCACUCUUCUCUGUCGACUCGGAAGUGGUGUCCGCUUCCUCUGGGUCAUCGCUAUGGUCGAUCAAGGUUUGCGCUAGGCAUUUGGCGCUGUCAUAGGUAUCCGGCUUCGCAGCCAAAACGUUCCCUUUGGUUGGCUUGGUCAAUCCCUAGAUGAACCUUGCAAUCUUUUUACUCUCCGGGGUAACCAAUCCCGGACAGAGAAGUGCCAAGUCAUCAAAUCUGGAUGUGUAGGCGGCGAUAUUGGAACCCUUCAUCUUCAAGUUCCAAAGUUCAUUCUCUAGCUUCUGUAUUUCACCCCGAGGGCAGUAUUCUGUGAACAGAAGUUCCUUCAUAACUUCCCAACCCAUAGCAUUUGCUACAGGUAAAGUUAAGGAUUUGAUUCGGCCGUUCCACCAAGUCAGAGCUUUAUCGGUGAAUGUGCAGGCGACGAAUUUCACCUUAUCGGAUUUUGAGCAGGCACAAAUCUCAAAGAUAGACUCGAUUUUCUCUAACCAUCGAGUUAGAGCAAUGACACCCCUUAUGCCAUCGAAGAAUGUGGGUUUUGCGUUCAUAAAGUCUUUAUAGGAACACUCCUUCCGGUGUCCCUGAUUACCUUCCUGGUUUUGGGUUUGGGGACCACCUCCUGAACCACCGGGGUUCAUGUNNNNNNNNNNNNNNNNNCAGCUGCUUCGAAUACGACAUGAUCAAAUUGAGGAGGAGGUGGUGGUGGCGGAGGGUUGUUAUUCUUUGAGCUGGGUCUUUUUCUUGGAGGCAUCUUGAUCUAAUAAGAUCAGGAAAGAGAGGAUGGUAAGUCCUCUGAAUUGAAUCAAAAGUUAUCACAUGUAUAUAUUCCGAAUAAGCAAUAAAGCAGGAAAAGGGUUAUCAAAGCAGAUAAAUUAUCGCUAAAGGAAUGAUCAAGGAACAACGCUUGAAUGAGGAUUUCUACAACGGAUUGGCUCAAGAAAUACUCCCAUAGUAUUUCAUGGUUCGCUAUGACACUGGCUCGAUGUUUGUGGUAUUUGGGUAAGUUUUAGGCAUGCUGCAUACCACAGUCACUCCCAAGCACAUGUUGGCCAUGUCUCGAAUGAAUAUAGUUGGCCAGGCUAUAUUGAUCCUAGACACGAAUACAUAAUUGCCCAUGUUUUAACGCUGCAUAAAACACCCAUUUACUUAUGUUCUGUUCUACUUGUAGUUACGGAUCUCGACGGUUGGAUAUACUUGUGUACUUUUGAAAAUACUUUUAUUUUAAGGUAUACUUUUAGUUCAGAGCACUUAGGCCCCUUAGUGUUUAUAGUCUUAUACCAUGUAAGCUUUGGUAUACUAGUUCACUAUAAACAAGGGCUCUGAUACCAAUCUGUCACACCCCGAAAACCCAACGCGGAAACAUUUCCAGGGCGGACUCCACGUUGAGUAUCAUAACCAAUGUAUAUAGUAACACAGUAAACACAAAACAUUACAUUACAUAGAAUUGUUUACAUCUAUUUGAAAGUAAACUUAUACAAUUGUUAUACACAUAUAUCAUAUGAACAAAAGUAAAGUCGAGUCUUCUAACGCUCCGUCUUCUCCAAAAGAUCGCGGGUACCUGUCUAAUGCUGACCUGAGAAUACAAGCAGUUUGAAAAUCAGCAUAAAGCUGGUGAGUUCAUAAGCGGUUUAAUUUUGAAAAGAUCGAGUUUCCUUUGGUNGUUAUCCAAGAAAAUCCUAUAUUUUCUUAUGAGAACAUUUUAGUUAUCUUUCGAUACACAAUUUCAUUUAUGAGUAGAUAUGUUGUUCCAGGAAAAUCCCAUAUUUUCCUAUUAGUUUAGUUUUCCAUUCGUUACACCAUUUGUUUACAGGUCAUUAUGUUAUUCCAGGAAAAUCCCAUAUUUUCCUAAAUGUUGCGGUUAGUUCUUAGUUUGGAUUUCGAUGUACUAGUAUCUACCAUACUUAUAGUAUUAGCUAGGUAUUCUGACAUCUUAGUUACCCUACAUUCGAAUGUCGAUUAUCUACUAUACUUUGUUGUAUUUUCGAAUAUUUGGAUACACUCAGAAACGUACAUUAACAGUAUUUUCAAUGUUCUGGUGAUUUCCAAAAGAGUACAUUAGACUUAUCUUCGAAACUCUGUCGACAUCCAAAGGCGUAUGUUUUCGAAACUUUGUAGAUGUCCAGAGGCGUACUUUCGAAUUGAUUUCGAAACUCUGGUGACACUCAAGGCGUACAUUAGCUGUAUAUUCGAAGUCUUGGCGUCAUCCAAAGGCGUGCUUUCGUAUUCGUAUUCCUAUUCCUAUUCGCAUUCGUAUUCGUAUACCUAUUCCUAUUUGUAUUCGUAUUCGUAUUCGUAUUCACAUUCGUAUUCAUUUUCGUUUUCGUAUUCGUAUUCACAUUCGUAUUCGUAUUCGUAUUCGUAUACCUAUUCGUAAUCGUAUUCAUAUUCGUAUUCGUAUUCACAUUCGUAUUCGUAUUUUAUUAGUAUUAAUCUUAGUUUAUGAUUAGUAUGAUUUCUUUUGCAAAAUGUAAUAUAGUUUAUAACACUUUUUAAAGAAAUCCGCAUUAAGUCUAACAGUUUACUCUGCAAUUCGAACCAUUGGUUAACACGAUUUUCGAUAUUAAAAGAAUACAUAAAAUGAAACAUUUGUGCUGAAAAUAAGUUUAAGUACAAGAUUCCUUGUACUUUUGCUUGUAUUCCCCCCAGAAAACAUUUGAAAAACACGGAAAAAGGGUAGGGGUAUGAACUCACCGGUUGAGGAACGCGUCGGUUUGGAUCCUAAACGUUAGUUCUGGGUUUGCAAUUGCACAAGAUUCCUAUGUAAUAUGAAAAGAUACACAUUUGUAUCUAAUUAGGAUUUGAACCACUAAUUAGUUGAGGACAUACACUUCUAGUUGCGAAAACACUUCAUUACAAGUGUUUGGAGGGACCCGGGUGACAUUUAUGGACACAUAUAGCUUAGAUAUGGAGUUUACUCUUCAAGAGUAAAAUCAAACAAAAGUUUUCGGCCCUAAUGACCCACUCCCCAUGAGUUUACGGCCGUAAACUCAAGGUGGGGGUGCUCUAGAGUGCUAAAUGGCCUUGAAUCAAUUGAAGGGUAAUUCUAGGUUUGGUUUCAAGGCAUGGGAUAGUAGUUUGGGCAUCUUAGGGACCAUUUGAUGAGUUUACGACAGUAAACUAUGUGUUUAUGGCUGUAAACUCUUGUAUACAUAUUCAAAGUGUGUUUUGGUGGUCCUUAGUCAAUCACAUGUGAUUUCAAGCCAUUUUACAAGCCAAGGGGUGAAGUUUAGGCACCAUUUGACCAUGAUUUACGAGUUUACGGACCAGGAACCCAUCCUUGGAGGGUUUACGGCCAUGAACUCCUUAGGGAGUUGUUUUCAUCAAGUUUAAGGCCCCUAAAUCGAUUGUGGUUGAUUCUAGAAUUUAAUCCAAGGCAAGUGGUGUGUUUAAAUGGCAUUUAAACACUUGGAAAUGAGUUUACUCUCCAUGAUAAUGAGUUUACGGACGAAGCAUGUUCUUGGGCAGUAAACUCAUGUUUACUCCUCAAAAUUUAAGUUUAAGGUGUUAUAAGUCCGUUCCAUUAAGCCAUCUAGCCAUAUCUAAGCUCUAAAGGUCGAUUGGAAGGGUUUUUGGGCUCCAAAACCCAUUUUAUAUGAGUUCACGGCCUAGAACUGUUCUAGGGCCGUAAACUCAUGAUAAUGGUCCUAUUCCAUAGUUUGACCACGAAUUUGGAAGCUAGAGAGGUUGUACAACAAGUUAGGAAGGUUACCUUGAUGAAAUGGAGCUUUAAUUUGAUGAUUUUGGACCUUAAGUUUGGAUUGAGCAGAGAGGUUAGAGAGAGAGUAGUGAGAGAGUGCAAAAGCUUCAAAUGGAAGCUUAAUCCACUUUAAAUAUGUUCCAAGAUCGGGACACGGUGGAAUUCUACCCGAUACCGAUGUUAGACGUGGCUUUUGGUCGCACCCGAUUAAGUUGUCGUAACCCGGCGGGACCGAUUCUAAAAAUUUUCAAAUUAAUAUUUUGGGCCGUUUACAUGAGUUUCUAAGGAGUUUGGACACUCGUGAGAUUAUAAUAAACAUAUAAAUUUAAUUAACUUAGCCCAAAAACGAGAUUGGAUCGAUUCGCAAAAGAUGGGUUUUACGGGUGAAAUGGGUUACGUCGAUGGACAACUUCGGGUUGUCACAUAUAUCAUUUUAUUAAAUUUGUUCAUAGUUUUCCUCUAUGCUCAAAUUUUAGGGGGAGAAUUAAAAAUAAAUCAAAAAUAAAAAAAAAUCAGAAAAAUUCAAAAAUCAAACAAAAAAAUAGAAAAUUAAAAAAAAGUGUUAUUUCUGUUUUAUUUUUCCAGAAAAUAUCAAAAAUCCAAAAAUAUUUUUUUGUGUGUGCUAAUUUUUAUUUUAGUUUUGUUUUGUCUUGAAAAGUGAUUUCAGGCGUAGAUGAGACUCGUGGAGAUUGUAUUGAAGAUCUUCUGAGCCAAGGCUUCAUUCGUGAGCAUCGAAGAAUUCUCAUUCGAAGGAACAUGAAAUGAAGAUUAUUCUUUCAACAUUUAAUUUGUCAACCCCAGAAGCAAGGUGAAGCUGAAAUUGAAGAUUAUGUGACGGAUUGCAUUGAAGCCUCCUCAAUCAGUCUGCUGCUAUCUUAAACCUGCUGAAGUGAUCCAGUAGAUUAUUUCUCUCCGUUGUUCUCUCUGAAGAUUCUCAAGCUGAAAGCGCUAUCUUUCAAGAAUCUCUACAAGAAGCCUCCUCACCCAAUGUACAAUCUUGAAGAAAAGCCCAACCGCUCGAGAUGAAGUCAUUCAUGAAGAUUCAUCAAGUUCAUCUUGAAGCUGUGAAGAAAUCAAAGAUUAAAGCUGAAGCCAAAGCUCCCAUUGAAGAUUGACAAGAAAAGCCAGCUACUUUUUAGGGGGAGCUUGUUGGGCCAAUUAGAAAAGAAAGCUAUAAACCAAGGGGGAGAUUGUUGGGUCAAAAAUAUGGUUUAUACUUUGCUUUUCUAGGAAAAUAUAUUUUUAUGUAAUGUUGUAUGUGUUUGCGGUUUGUGUGUACGGCUGUACACGUGUGUACGGCCGCACACCCUGUGUACGGCCGUACACAGGGUGUGCGGAUGUACACAUGUGUAUGGCUAGAGGUCCAUAUAAAUAGAGGAGUGCAUGUGGGUGUGUACGGUAAGAGGGUUAGAAGGUUAGAGAAGAGAGAGAAAGUUAGAGAGAAGAAGUGUGUGUGAGAGAGAAUCUAUUGUAAGGAGCAUCACUCAUUCAUAUUGAAUACAUCAUAGAUUCACCUUAAUUCUUCUUCUCCUUCUCUUCUAUUUGAUCUGACAUCAUACAAUUGAUUGGGAUUCCGCACCAUCAAUUGGAUCUGAUUGAUACACAAGCAAUUUUGGGGACUUACAACUUGUUCACCUUGUUGCUCUCCCAGGCAGGUCGAUCUAUCCUCUUUUGGGUGUGGGAAAACCUCUUGCUUUGCCUCAGCUUUUUGGGUCUUCGAUCUGGGACUAACAUCCUGGCAGUUCUCCUGGGACAUCGACUUGGAGCUGCAGUGAAAGAGUGAAUUAGGGUGGAUGGAGGUGUGACAGAAGAUUCUGAUUCAUUUAUCAUGAUCACUUCGUCAUUAUCUUCCACAUCCAUAUUUUCCUCGGGCUCUUCCUCAGGAUCCUCUUCCAUGUCCUCCUCCGGGUCUUCUAAGGGAUCCUCUUCCAUGUCCUCCUCAGGAUUUUCUUCGAUCUCGAUUUCCUCCUGUUGUAUCGGUGCCUCCUUGACCGGUGGGAUAGGGUUGUAUGCUACAGGGAGCUCGGGGUAGUAUGGAUCUCCAGGGAUUACGGGAAGCACGGGUUGGUUUGCUGGGGGUUGAACCAACAUCCAUAGUUUGUCCAUCUAGAAUGGAUUUUAAGGAAAAUAUUAGAACCCAAAGUACAUCGAUAAAUAUAAUUUUUUUUUAAUUAUUUAUCUGGUUCUAUCACUUAUUUGUGUUUAUUGACUGGUUUUAGUUUCCUUAAAACUUCAAGAUUUUAGUUUAUCAAUUAUUUCAUUUAGGUUGGAUAAUGCAUAAGGCCCGAUCAUAAUAAAACUUAGGUGCGCAAGCUAGGUCUAGUUGUGAUAAAGCAUAUGUAUUAUGAAACCUAUUUGAUUAAUUGGUCCAAAUUCUUGUGUUUUAAGUUUUUAUAUAAUUUUUUAUACACAUAGAUGAGUUUUUAUAAAAAUAAAUAAAUAUUAAUUUAUGUUUAAUAAAACUCUAUUUUCAAGUUUUUGCAGAAUAGUGGUAUAUCUAUACCUACUAGAGUAAGCCCAAGACUAUAGUUGUAUUUUUUUAGGAAAAAUACUUAGUUCUCUAUAGUCGUUAUCUCUGAUAUCAAUCUGUCACACCCUGACCGACGGCGGAAACACCGGGGUUGCGACGUUUACAAUUGGAACCAUAGUCAACCACAUAUACUGAACAUUCAUAAAUUAAUAUAUUGCGAACCUUGGUUUUGUAAACAUUAUUACAAUAUAGUAAUUAUUCAAAUACGAAACAUUAAAAUAGACCUAAUUCAUAAUAAUAAAGAAAACUACAAUCUCCUUGAAAUCGAUGGUUUACCUCCAACUUCUUAGUUACCUGAGAAUACACAUUUAAAAUACGUCAACAAAAUUUGUUGGUGAGUUCCACAGGUUUUGACUCCGUAAAAUUUAUAUAAAAUAAACAGAUAAAGUUUGGAGUAUUUGCAAAAAAAGAAAUGUUUAACCAAAAAAAAAUAUUAGUAGUACAACCUUGUAGAAGUUUGUAUUAUUAUUUAGGUAUCUAGGGUUUGGUGGAGCAAAUAACCGAGCUAUGACUUGUUCAAGCCUCUGUGAAGCACAAAAAGGUGCUUGUUGUCCCAACGCCGUUUCAUAGACGUCGUGAUAAAAGAAUUAGAUAAAGAAAACAAGAAGUUAUUGUUUGAUUUGUCUCGUCAUACGAAGGUUGUAGCUAGCAACCGCACAAACGGGGGUGUCAACCCAUAUAGAUCUAUACAAAACGUUCUUCGCUCACAAAGGAUUAACGGUUAUGACAGAGGACUUUACUAAGUUGUUUUUUCUUAGUUUGAUGAAUAAUAGACUCCCCCAACAAUCCCAAGUUUAGGUACCGGUUUACUAAUGAUGAUGUUUGGAAACAUAAUGUCAUAUGUAUACCAAUUUUAAAGGUAAAUUAAUAUUGUUUCCCUGACACAAUAAUAACUUGAUCAUACAAAAUAUAAUGUACAUAUUAUUAUUAAUGAAUAAUAACCCUUUUUAAAAUUUAUUAUCGAGUCAACACUUUAGAAAACGAUUGUAAUUAAAACAUUGUCUGAUCAAACCAUUUCAUAACAUACAUCGUGUCUGAAAACCGAAACAUGAAAAACAAUCAACUAUCAGAGUACAAAAUCCCAGAAUGACUCAUGGUGCGGAAAACAAGGUGUGUGUAUGAUGUGCCGCUACCGCGCUAGCUCCUUCCCUCUUGAAGAAGAGGUACCUGAAAACAAAACUGCAAACCGUAAGCACGAAUCUUAGUGAGUUCCCCCAUAAUACCUCAUACCAUACAAACAUACAAUGAACAUCUAGGAGAUAAGGGCCUCGCCCACACUCAUGAAGAUACGGGCCUCGCCCACACUCCGCUAGCUGGAAGAUACGGGCCUCGCCUACACUCCAGUAUCUGGGAGAUACGGGCCUCGCCCACACUCCGCUAGCUGGAAGAUACGGGCCUCGCCUACACUCCAGUAUCUGGGAGAUACGGGCCUCGCCCACACUCCACUAUCAGAGAGAUACGGGCCUUGCCCACACUCAGCUGCUAAACCAUAACAUACAAGUACCACAUAGACACUGAGUAUAAACAAUUCUAUCAUAUUGGCAUAUAUCAUAAUCAACCUCAACUAUGAGAUACGGGCCCUGCCCACACUCCGUCACUAACGUAUCGUCUAUACGGGUCGACCUUGGUGCCUUAGGCCCGUUACUACUGGAAGGAAACUCACCUCGAAAAGUAGCUACCGAAAGUCUGACUGCUAGACAUCUGGCUGCCGUAUUGGUAAUCCUCCGGCUACAAAUUCUUAAACAUAGAUUAUCCACUCAUAAAUACCCUUAGGUCAAUUGACUGACCCACCCCUGGUCCAAGGUCAAAGCCUCGGUCAAAGUCAACUUCCAGUUGAUUGGACUCGCCGAGUCGUGGCACAGACUCGCUGAGUCCUUCUCCUACUAACCCGAUCCUACUCGCCAAGUCCCUCUUCCCACUCACUGAGUCACCCUUAACUCGCUACUCAAGACUAUAGAACCGACUUGUGAUCCGACUCGCCGAGUCCCCAUGACCAGAUCUCCUACUCGCUUCCAAAUCCUCACCAGAGCAUCCCUUAAGAGGAUUUGGGGUUCUGGGGCUAUUGCUACACGUUAAAUUGCUAAUUCCACGUGCAGGUACGAAGGGUUGGACCAUCAACACUUAAACCCCUCUUACUCAGUGACAGUUCAUAUGACUCGCCGAGUUUGAAGAACAACUCGUCGAGUUCCAGGCAAUCUUCAUAGACUCGCCGAGUUGUUCAUCCAACUCGCCGAGUCUAAGACCAUCUUCAUAGAACUCACCGAGUUCCACCUUGGGACUCGCGCGAGUCCCUUCAACCCACUUCCCAUACAGACCAAAUCUGAGACAUGCAACGCUUCUAAACCAUAGAUCUAUGCUCCUAGGGCAUGCUUAUCACGUAAAGUUGCAAACUUUACGUGCAUGCAUGGCCUUAUAAGCUCAAGAAGGCAAAUACAAGCUCCUUAAGAGGUCAUACACUCAAUUGGAACCUUAAUAAAUCCAACCACAGAGACUUCACACUACUAAGAUGUACAUAAGGUCCCAAUCUGAAGUCCUUUCAGAACAUAGAGCAUGAAUACAUGGAGUUUGGGGUUUUAGGGCUUGAAAACCACUAAUUUGGGACAAAAAGGGUAUCUAAUUAACUAGUGAUCAAGGUAAGAACUUUUCUACCUAAAUGAAAGCUUCUCACAGUGUAGAUUCCGGAUCUACCUCCCCUCCUUGCACACUUCAACCUCUUCCCUCUUCUUCUAAGGUCCCAAACCUUCUUCCCAAAGCCAAAAUCACUCUUAAGAACAAUAUGGGGGCUAGGGUUUCUUUCUACAACUCUCUGGAAGUGUUAGGGACAAAGGAGGCCAAGUUAGCGCGUUUAAAUAGGGUGCAAACACCCGGAUUAGGGUUUUUGCCCAAACAGGGUCUACUCGCCGAGUCCGGGGGCCGACUCGCCGAGUCCAAAGUUCAGACCCCGCGUCUUAUCACGCGGCGAGUUGAUCCUUCAACUCGCCGAGUCCAAGGCAAAAAAACACUAUUUUAAGAAUAUAAAUCACAAGGAGUACGUACCAGGAACCGGGUGUUACAAUAAACAUAACCAUAAAAAUAGUUUUGUUAAAGCUUAGUUUAGGUUGUGGCAUAAUUAUAGUCAUAUAUAAUGGUAUGUUAAUAUAUUCACUUUUAUUCAUAAAACACCCACGAAAUUUUAUAGUAACAACAUAUUCAUCCAUAUAUAUAUAUAUAUANNNNNNNNNNNNNNNNNNNNNNNNNNNNNNNNNNNNNNNNNNNNNNUUGUAUACGUAUGAAUAAUCUAUGUUUAUGUCAUGACCAAUAGGACAUAUGCAACUUUAAUUGACAUCCAUUUGUGUAAAGAGUUUAGCGUUAUCACUUUUAUACGUUAAUGAUCUAUGCACUUUAAAAUGAUAAUAAUAAUACAUGUAUAUCUUUAUGGAUCAUUAUAUAAAUUCUAGCAUGAGAUAAAUUAUGGUAUUUCUUUGUGACAUGUUCGAUAAUACGAUCUAAAAUAUAUAGAUUAGCAUAAAAUGGAAUAUUAAUCGAAAUAUAACAUAAAAUGCCAUUAAACUUAAAUAAGUGUUAGUAAGUUUAACUAGAACAAUUUGUCAUGUGUAUUCUCCCCCAUAAAUUAUUUAAAAGAUAAAAUGGGGCCGUAGAUACUCACUUUUGUCGCAUGACGGUAUUUGGUUCGAGGAAGCCGGGAUGUUUUCGGUUCCACCGAGGCUUGAAAUUUGAAUGCUUUUGGGGAAGUAUGAGGCUUGAAAAUCACAGCAAUUAUAAAAAAAGCGUACUUUGGCUACUGUUUUGAAUAGUUAUUUUAGUGCAACAAAUUAACUAACUUUUAGAGGUAUUUUAGGGUGAAAAUAUUAAGCAAAAAGAAUGUGAAAGGGGGCUAGAAUAGUAGCUGGAAAUGGAGGGAUAACACCCUCUUUUUGGCUUUUGUUUUGCUGUUUCAUAAAGUGAGGACAAGUACAGAAUUUUGGCUGAGUUUUAAUGGCCAUUUGAGUGUAAUAUAGAGGACAUUUAGUUGCACUUGUAAGGAAGAAAUUGUAAGGGAGAAAUGAGGGGGAAGUAUCGGCAUUUAUAGGGGAAAGAUGAAGGGUGAGAAGAUUGCUAAAUUUCUAUUAGAUCGUAUAGGAUAAAAAAUUUAUAUGAUUUUUUUUACCUUGCAAUUUGCAAGUUCCACCAUCCCACUUGCUAGUUCUAGUUGCUUUUCAAAUGAUUUAGUUAGAAAAAUAAAUAAAUAAAAGGAUUGUGAGGGAGGAGAGGGUAACGAAUGGAAGGGGAAGCAAAAGAAAAGAUUUAAAUAUUGCAUCAGGUGAUUUCUUUCUUCUAACUUAUAGUCAUCCUAGCCUAUUUUAAAUUUUCUAUUCUCUUAUCUCUUUAGAUGUACACGAAUCAUGCUCCUGUAACUUCAUGUUUGACAUUUUUAUUUACUCAUUCUUUUAUUUAUUUAUUUUAUUUUUAUUGCAUGACAACUCAUAUAAAUAACAAUAGUGAUUACAUGUAUUUAUUAUUUAAAUACUUAUACUAGUGUGUAUGUUUAAUGGACGUUUAAAAUAUUUUCAUUACUCCUUGUAUAAUACCGCAUCAUAUUUUUAUAAAACAAUAGUAAUGUUUAUGGUCUAAAGCGCAAUUAUGUGCGUUUAAGUGUUUCGUAGAGAUGUUAUUUGUUUUCCAUCGGGUUUGUUCAUGAAUGACUUAAUUUAAUUAAAUUUCAAUUCCGUAUAUAAGUUCGUUGAUGGUAUCACUUAUAACCAUUGUAAGUAAGUUUACAAGAUCAACAUUUUCCAUUAUCUGGAGUCGUGUAAAUGUAAUAAUUUGAACAAACGGUUUUUAUUCAAUUGUUCUCAUGNNNNNNNNNNNNNNNNNNNNNNNNNNNNNNNNNNNNNNNNNNNNNNNNNNNNNNNNNNNNNNNNNNNNNNNNNNNNNNNNNNNNNNNNNNNNNNNNNNNNNNNNNNNNNNNNNNNNNNNNNNNNNNNNNNNNNNNNNNNNNNNNNNNNNNNNNNNNNNNNNNNNNNNNNNNNNNNNNNNNNNNNNNNNNNNNNNNNNNNNNNNNNNNNNNNNNNNNNNNNNNNNNNNNNNNNNNNNNNNNNNNNNNNNNNNNNNNNNNNNNNNNNNNNNNNNNNNNNNNNNNNNNNNNNNNNNNNNNNNNNNNNNNNNNNNNNNNNNNNNNNNNNNNNNNNNNNNNNNNNNNNNNNNNNNNNNNNNNNNNNNNNNNNNNNNNNNNNNNNNNNNNNNNNNNNNNNNNNNNNNNNNNNNNNNNNNNNNNNNNNNNNNNNNNNNNNNNNNNNNNNNNNNNNNNNNNNNNNNNNNNNNNNNNNNNNNNNNNNNNNNNNNNNNNNNNNNNNNNNNNNNNNNNNNNNNNNNNNNNNNNNNNNNNNNNNUAUAUAUAUAUAUUAAAAAGAGUUAUUAAUACAAAAUCUGUAAGUGAGAAUUAUACAAAAUAAUAACGACAAACUAUUUAUCAUGUAAAGUAUUGCAUCAGAUUUUGAUAAACUUCACAAGAUUUUAUAAUGACAUGGUUUUUGAAAAAUUAAUUUUAAUUAUAGUUAAAUUUAAAAUAGUUCAUAACAUUUGUAAAAACUUAAAUAAUUUUUUCUUCUAUGCCAACUAAUGACAAAGGAAAUAAUUCAUUCUUAGAUUGUUUAUUUGUUGUUUUAAUGGAAGUAAUUAAUUUUUAGAUUGUUUAUUUGUUGUUUUCAUGGUUUCAAGUAUAUCAUAAUUCUAUAAGGUUUAGGUUAUAAAUGUGAAUAUCUUUAAUUAAUUUGUUGCAAAUAUAAAAUUAAUGAUUACCUAAUUUGAAAAGUCAUCAAUAUUCAUUUUCUUAAAAGUUAAAGGAUCUUGUGAGUUAACCUUUGUCAAUAUAAUAUCAACAAAUUGAGAACUAAUAAUACAUAGACACACAACUGCACAUCCCCGACACAUUGACUAUUUCACUUAGUUCAUACAAAAUUGAGAAUGAAGAGAACAUUCUUUGUGAUCGUUUUUCUUUUUGUAGCAGGUGAGCAAUUUCUGUAUGUACAUAAAUCACUAUCACUAUGGUCUCGAAUCUUUUUUAAUGAAUAAAAUAAGAGGAUUAUGUGAGAUUAGAAAGGAAAAACGUGUUCCCAACUUUUUUUAUGCAAUGAAAGAAAAGGUUUACUACCCCACCCCCCUCUCACCCACUCAAAAUUAUCCAUCUAAUUUUGUGCUAAUUAUGAGGGAAAGCAAAAAAAAAUCAUUAUGUUCCUUUCCUUCAAACUGGAGAACACCAUUGGUAUUUCUUACCUUUCAUUCUCUUUUUCACUUUCAUUUUUUCUAAUUUUAAAAUUCAAGAAGAGGAUGAUUAUGUAUGCUAUGAAAAAACACUUGUAUUGGAAUUAGCAUGCAAGCAAGGUAAUGAAAAAUCCAGGGUAUUUUGGGCACUCUCAUACGGGGUUCUCGAUAUACAUAUAUAUAUAUAUAAUAUGAAUUAACAUCUACCUUUUUUUAAUUUAUGUGACAGGUUUGAAGGACGUGACUUCGUAUUCACAAGAUUCGGUUCCACCAGAAUGUAACAGUUCUAUAGAUUGCUUUCAUCGUUGUGGAAUGUUUGGGUCUCAUGUUUGAAAAAAGCAUCAAUGUAUUUGUCUAAGUAAUGGUGAACAAAAGGACCCACGCCCACAUGUGCAAAUCGAUGAAAAUGUAUAGGAAUAAUGUCAAAAUGCAAUAUCAAGUG
rnacentral:lncRNA from 1 species